rnacentral:rRNA from 1 species
UACGUAGGGUGCAAGCGUUUAAUCGGAAUUACUGGGCGUAAAGCGUGCGCAGGCGGUGAUGUAAGUCAGGUGUGAAAGCCCCGGGCUCAACCUGGGAAUUGCAUUUGAGACUGCAUAGCUAGGGUGCGGAAGAGGGAAGCGGAAUUUCCGGUGUAGCGGUGAAAUGCGUAGAUAUCGGAAGGAACACCAGUGGCGAAAGCGGCUUCCUGGUCCAGCACCGACGUUCAGGCACGAAAGCGUGGGGAGCAAACAGG